rnacentral:rRNA from 1 species
AUUGAACGCUGGCGGCAGGCCUAACACAUGCAAGUCGAACGAGUGGCGGACGGGUGAGUAAUGUCUGGGACACUGCCUGAUGGAGGGGGAUCACUACUGGAAACGGUAGCUAAUACCGCAUACCAUCAGAUGUGCCCAGAUGGGAUUAGCGUGUUGGUGGGGUAACGGCUCACCAAGGCGACGAUCCCUAGCUGGUCUGAGAGGAUGACCAGCCACACUGGAACUGAGACACGGUCCAGACUCCUACGGGAGGCAGCAGUGGGGAAUAUUGCACAAUGGGCGAAAGCCUGAUGCAGCCAUGCCGCGUGUAUGAAGAAGGCCUUCGGGUUGUAAAGUACUUUCAGCGGGGAGGCGUUACCCGCAGAAGAAGCACCGGCUAACUCCGUGCCAGCAGCCGCGGUAAUAC